GGCAACCUGACCCCUUAACAUCUAAAUUGAGAUAUUUCAGAUUUUGAGUGAUUAAGUGUCAGCCUAGAGCGGCGGACUUGGUGAGUAACGCGUGGGCGACUUACCCUGGGCCGAGGAUAGCCGGUAGAAAUAUCGGGUAAUACCGGAUACGACCGCACGGUCGAAGCCGUGCGAGGAAAGGGGCUUCGGCCCCGCCCCUGGAUGGGCCCGCGUCCCAUUAGCCUGUUGGUGGUGUAACGGACCACCAAAGCAGUGAUGGGUAGCCGGCCUGAGAGGGUGAACGGCCACAUUGGGACUGAGAUACGGCCCAAACUCCUACGGGAGGCAGCAGCUAAGAAUAUUCCGCAAUGGCCGGAAGGCUGACGGAGCGACGCCGCGUGGACGACGAAGGCCGGAAGGUUGUAAAGUCCUUUUGCCGCCGAAGAAUAAGCGCGGGAGGGAAUGCCCGCGCGAUGACGUUAGGCGGCGAAUAAGCCCCGGCUAAUUACUUGCCAGCAGCCGCGGUAACACGUAAGGGGCGAGCGUUGUUCGGAAUUAUUGGGCGUAAAGGGCGCGUAGGCGGCUGUGCAAGUCUGGUGUGAAAGGCGGGGGCUCAACCCCCGGACUGCGCCGGAAACUGCAUGGCUUGAGUUUCGGAGGGGGAGUCGGAAUUCCGGGUGUAGGGGUGAAAUCUGUAGAUAUCCGGAAGAACACCGGUGGCGAAGGCGGACUUCCAGCCGGAGACUGACGCUGAGGCGCGAAAGUGCGGGGAGCGAACAGGAUUAGAUACCCUGGUAGUCCGCACCAUAAACGAUGUGCACUAGGUGUCGGGGCGAGCGUCUCGGUGCCGGAGCGAACGCGAUAAGUGCACCGCCUGGGGAGUAUGCCCGCAAGGGUGAAACUCAAAGGAAUUGACGGGGGCCCGCACAAGCGGUGGAGCAUGUGGUCUAAUUCGAUGAUACGCGAGGAACCUUACCUGGGUUUGAAGUGCGGGGGAAUGGCGCGGAGAUGCGCCGGCCGGGCAACCGGCCCCCGCAUAGGUGCUGCAUGGCUGUCGUCAGCUCGUGCCGUGAGGUGUUGGGUUAAGUCCCGCAACGAGCGCAACCCCUACUGCCAGUUGCCAGCAUUUGGUUGGGGACUCUGGCGGAACUGCCGGCGACAAGCCGGAGGAAGGCGGGGAUGACGUCAAGUCAUCAUGGCCCUUAUGUCCAGGGCUACACACGUGCUACAAUGGGCGGUACAGAGGGAAGCGAGCCCGCGAGGGCGGAGCAAAUCCGCGAAAGCCGCCCGUAGUUCGGAUUGAAGUCUGAAACCCGACUUCAUGAAGCUGGAAUCGCUAGUAAUCGCGCAUCAGCAUGGCGCGGUGAAUACGUUCCCGGGCCUUGUACACACCGCCCGUCACACCAUCCGAGUUGGGAGUGCCCGAAGCCGGCAGCGUAACCGCGAGGAGCGCGCCGUCUAAGGCAAGCUUAGUGAGGAGGGUG
rnacentral:rRNA from 1 species